rnacentral:rRNA from 1 species
UGGAGCAUGUGGUUAAUUCGACGCAACGCGAAGAACUUACCAGGGCUUGACAUCCCCUGACCGCGUAUGAAAGUACGUUUUCACCCUCGGGUGACAGGGAGACAGGUGGUGCAUGGUUGUCGUCAGCUCGUGUCGUGAGAUGUUGGGUUAAGUCCCGCAACGAGCGCAACCCCUACGUUUAGUUGCUAACGCGUGAAGGCGAGCACUCUAGACGAACUGCCGUUGACAAAACGGAGGAAGGUGGGAUGACGUCAAAUCAUCAUGCCCCUUAUGUUCUGGGCUACACACGUGCUACAAUGGCCGGUACAGACGGACGCAAAGCCGCGAGGUGGAGCAAAUCCUAAAAAGCCGGUCUCAGUUCGGAUUGCAGGCUGCAAUUCGCCUGCAUGAAGUCGGAAUCGCUAGUAAUCGCAGGUCAGCAUACUGCGGUGAAUACGUUCCCGGGCCUU